CAACCGGAUUUUCUAAAAUCCACCCAACUAUCAAAUUAAAGUCUUC
rfam:Thalassiosira oceanica strain CCMP1005 To_g18288, whole genome shotgun sequence.